rnacentral:lncRNA from 1 species
AGUGUAGUUCCAAUGAUUUUCUUUUAACUUAUGUUUCUAUUUUCUUGCAUCUUGUUAUAUAUAUGCCCAAUUAAUUUUCGUUAUUUUUUCAUUGGUACCUUACAAAAUGAUGUGGCGCAUUAGUGGUGGAUUGAUUACUAGCUAGUGUUCUUACCUUUUACACUCCAAAUUAUGAUAGUUUUUGGUAAAAUUAUUUUGUAAUUACAAAUAUUCU